rnacentral:rRNA from 1 species
GACGAACGCUGGCGGCGUGCUUAACACAUGCAAGUCGAGCGGUAAGGCCCUUUCGGGGGUACACGAGCGGCGAACGGGUGAGUAACACGUGGGUGACCUGCCCUCAGCCCUGGGAUAAGCCCGGGAAACUGGGUCUAAUACCGGAUAUGACUCCAUGACGCAUGUUGUGGGGUGGAAAGCCUUGUGCGGCUGAGGAUGGGCCCGCGGCCUAUCAGCUUGUUGGUGGGGUGAUGGCCUACCAAGGCGACGACGGGUAGCCGGCCUGAGAGGGCGACCGGCCACACUGGGACUGAGAUACGGCCCAGACUCCUACGGGAGGCAGCAGUGGGGAAUCUUGCGCAAUGGGCGAAAGCCUGACGCAGCGACGCCGCGUGAGGGAUGACGGCCU